rnacentral:rRNA from 1 species
UUCAACAUGCGCGCUAGUUGUUGGGAUUUGAUAAACCCGCUAGCAAAGUGAAAGCAAGUCACAGUGUUACGCUGUGGAUUGGCGUGAUCCCGUCACCGGUGGGUAGAGAUGCCUACUGGCCGGGCGCAUCGCCGGCCCGUCAUGAGCUCAAGUGGCUGUGGCGGAGCCUGAGCGUGCACGUUGAGACCCGAAAGAUGGUGAACUAUGCCUGGGCAGGAUGAAGCCAGGGGAAACUCUGGUGGAGGUCCGUAGCGAUUCUGACGUGCAAAUCGAUCGUCUGACCUGGGUAUAGGGGCGAAAGACUAAUCGAACCAUCUAGUAGCUGGUUCCCUCCGAAGUUUCCCUCAGGAUAGCUGGCACUCGGAGAACGUAGUCUCUCCCGGUAAAGCGAAUGAUUAGAGGUCUUGGGGUCGAAACGACCUCAACCUAUUCUCAAACUUUAAAUGGGUGAGAAGUCUGGCUUGCUUAAAUGCAAUUUAGCUGAAGUCUGGACGUUGGAUACGAGCGCCUAGUGGGC